rnacentral:rRNA from 1 species
UACGUAGGGCGCAAGCGUUAUCCGGAAUUAUUGGGCGUAAAGAGCUCGUAGGCGGUUUGUCGCGUCUGCCGUGAAAGUCCGGGGCUCAACUCCGGGCCUGCAGUGGGUACGGGCAGACUAGAGUGCGGUAGGGGAGACUGGAAUUCCUGGUGUAGCGGUGAAAUGCGCAGAUAUCAGGAGGAACACCGGUGGCGAAGGCGGGUCUCUGGGCAGCAACUGACGCUGAGGAGCGAAAGCGUGGGGAGCGAACAGG